AUGACCUACUGAAUCCAAUUUCCUCUUCCAGAUACACUGUAUUCAAUUUCUUGUAUUUGCAUAUACACAGACAAUAUUACCAAUAUUACCAAUAUAGGCAUCUCCUUUUAUAGAAUUAACAAAAGAUAUAGCUGUUUAUAAACAUAGAUAAUAUUUACCACGUCUCACAAACAUUGUAACAUAUACUCCCUCCGUUUUUUAAUAUAAGUCGUUUUAUAAUUGUGCACAUAGAUUAAAAAAAUCAAUAAUUUUUUAUAUUUUCUAAACAAAAACAUCAUUAAUUAUUUACCUAACCACAAAUCAACCAAUGGAAUAAUAAAAUAGAAGGUAUAUUAUCAUUGGUCAUAUAACAUUAAGUGUUAAUAAAUUUUACAUAGAAAAUCGAAAACUUCAUAUAAUUUGGAACAUAAAAAUUCCUUUAAAACGACUUAUAUAAAAAAACGGAGGGAGUAUUUCUUAAAGACCACCAAAUAUUUCUGAGUUUAUUUUUGUGGUUAGCAUAUAGAAGCAAUUUGUCAGUAGGAAACAAAGAACUUCAACGGAUGAAGCGCUACGGAGGGAACAAAUUAAAGACCCCCAUGGAGUGCGGUGAAAUGGAAUCACAAAAAGUCUCGUUACUUUUGAAGUCAAAUGUAACAUUCACUUGCCCUCACUCUGCUCUAAAACCGCGUCCAAUUUAUUGUAUUUUCCAUUUUCGAAAUGAUAAAAUUUGAAAUUUGUCAACAUAGAUUAGAUUUUUUGUACCAAGAACAUAAAGAUGCAUAGAUACCACCAAAAGAUACUGCAUGUGUGUAUGCAAGCUGAGGAACAAAGUCUCUCACUGAAACGUCCAAAGUCCAUGUUAAAUAAGCUUCAUCCAAAUUUACAUUUGUUCUCUAGAAUAUUAGUUUUCUUGUGACCUUUUAUAGCAUGAAAUUUCGUAAGAAUCUAUUUGAAUUUAACAUUAUUUUAUCCUGUUUCUGUUCAUGCCAUGCAUUCGGAAAGAAUUUUUUUUUUGAUCAAACAUUUGGAGAAUCAGUUCAAAAAAAAACAUUUGGAGAAGAAUAAUGAAAUUGUUAUGAAUAGUUACGUGGAUGUACAUCAUAUGUCCAAAAGCCCAUGUUCUAGAAAGUUCAUAAACCCUAACUUGUAUCAUAUAUAUAUAUGCAUAUACCAACCUAUGAAAUAAUAAGAUUAACCAAUUUCCUCUUUCUCUUGAUUCACAACACGUUAUCAGCAAGCUCUAAUUCUAGCCGUAAAAAAAAAAAAUAAAUCUCUUAGCUUAGCGACUUCGUUUUGAUCUUAGACGUCGUCUUCAUAUCCCUCAUUGACCCUUCGAUUGAUGUUGCUACCACUACCUAUCAAGAUAAGGAUUACUCUCCAUACUCUUAUAUCAUACUUAAACGAUCAUGCUUUAACCAAUUAUUUAGAUCUGAUUAUUAUGUUAUUAUUUCGUUAUAUUGCAACGAGUAGCUUGUUUCAAUAUUCAAUUAUUCUUAUUAGAUGACUUGCAACCGAAGCUUUACAAUAAAUGAUCUGUAUUUGUUUUUAACUUCUAACUUGUUGAUUAAUUUGAUUAAGAAGAAUUAAGAUCUAUACUAAUUACUUGGAACUGAAUUAUGCGUUAAAGAAAAAAAUUAUGUUUGAUUGAACUAUCGGCUGUUACAUGAUUUUUCUUUCUUUGAUUGAUCUAAUUAAAUUAACAGUGAGCAAUAAUUUGAUAUUGCUUGGUUUAGUUGGUUAUAGUAUCUUUGGUAUGAACUAUUUAAUUUUACGAAAACAUACGUUGUAAGUUCAUGCAUUAUGCCUUAUUGCCAAUCUGUUUGUAAUAUAUAAUAUAGAUAUGAGAUGAUUACAUAUUUCAUUGUUUACUAGGUGAUCCGCCCGCGCUGAAGCGCGGGUAUAGUUAAGUUAAUUAGUAUUUAUAAUUUAUUAUGUAAAAUUAUUAUUUAUUUAUAAAAUAUAUAAAUUUUUUUAUGAAAGUAGUAUUAUAUGUAUAAAGUGCACGUUAUAGUUAAAUUCUUUUAGUAUUUAUACUUUUAUUAUGUAAAAUUAUGAUUUAUUUAUAACAUAUAUAUAUAUAUAUAUAUAUAUAUAUAUAUAUAUAAAUUUUGUUAUGAAAGUAGAAUUAUUAUAUGUAUAAAGUGCACGUUAAAGCUGGAGAGAAGAAUGUGCUUGAGAAUAAGAUUCAGCGGUGGUGAUAAUGCCCGAAGCGUUAAAGCUUCAGCAGGACAAAGCAGCGAAGGGGUGGAGAAAACAGACAGCACCGGAGGAGGAGGAGCAAGACAGUUCGCUGGUCCUGUAAUGGGGGUUACUACACUUGAUCGUGGCUUUGCUAACUCCACUACCGAUGAAGUUGUGAAACUUUCACCGCACGCGAGGGCUAUUAGAGAUGUGGAAGAUGAGGAACUAAGAAGCUUUUUCUUCGGAAUGUGAGGUUUCAAUUAAUAAGUAGUUGUGGAAGAUAACAGCCGUCUACUGUUUUUAUCUCUUCAAAGCUUGUUGGACCUUCGACUAUUUUUAGCAAAACCCUUAAAUAA